rnacentral:lncRNA from 1 species
AAAAGAUACACUCUGCAAAAGCUGCAACGUCGUACAUAUACAGACCCACCCCCUCUUGUCAUUGUCUUCUUCCACGCCAACCACCCCAAAGGACCCAUCGUUUCUUCUUCUUCUGAAUCAGAGAAUCAAGACCUCCAUUAGAAAACACCAUCGAAGACCUCUUGAUCUUCAGCUUCUUCUGCAGCAGCACAAACCAAAAGCAAUGACCCCUAAGUUGUUCCUCUUCUGUCUCGAAGCAGCAGGACCUGCAACCUUCCAACGAUCCCUCCCCACCAUGAACUGAUCUUCCUCAGUCGCUGAACACCCAGAAACACCUCCUCCAUCGACGCUCCUCUUCUUCAACUUCAUAGAGUCCAUUUUGAAGUCCGUUCGUUGAGUUGUUCGGGGUCGAGCGCUAGAGACGUUUGAGGUCGUCGGGUCCCUGUUCCGUUUGUGGUCAUUUUCUGGUGCAUUUCUGGUCCCUUACUCUAUUUUGGUGUGGUUAAAAGUAUAAUAAGAGUAGUAGAGGUUGAAUUCCGGGAACUGAGUUGGUAGUUGUAAGAGAUUUUGUGUUUUUGCUUAUCGUGUGAUGCACUAUUCUGUCGAAGGGUGUUCUAAAUUUGGUGUUUGUCGAUUUUUCUAUAGAAUUUGCUAGUGUUCAAGUUGUCGCAAAUCUGUUAACCAUGAAAUUCACAUCUCUGAUUCGUUGAAAUGUUUGAGCUGCUGCAGUUUUGUCUCAAAUUCUCGAUUACUGUCAAUAUGUGUCCAAUUUCCCUUUGUGAUUUUGUUUUGUUUCAUUUUUCAGUCAUUCUUUGGCUUGUUACGAGUAGAGUUUGGAUGCGGAACUUAUUGUCUGUUCGUUAAUAUGGAGCUACUGGAAAUAUUUUCUUUUGGAGUUGUUGAUCUUUUGUAUUUAGUUGUAAAUUUGGUUAAUUUGAGUAGUUUUAGAUUGUUAAGCAAAUACUAAGCUAAGAAUAGAAGGAAUUGUUUCACGAGUUAAUUUUGAACAUUGAAGCAAAAAAAUGAAACUUCAGGAACGGUGGUGGACUGAUGUAAUUAUGUGCUGGGAUACUACUUAUAUUUAUUUUAUGAAAGUUAGUUUGAGCUUUAUCCUUUGUUAAAGGUUUCCAAAAACAAUCAGAUUCUAAUUUUAAAGAAGUUGAUUUUGGGUUUAAAAUUGCGAAGUGGCCAGUAUCAUAUUUAGUUCGAUCCUUUGUUAUUCUAGUAGUCUUUGUCUUAUUUCGUGCGUCUUGGAUGUUUACAUGUCUCGAUAUCUCAUUUGUGGUGAUCGGUAUAUUUUUGUUUUGAAUGACCGUGGGAUCAUGGGGAGUGAUAGAAAGGCCAAAGCCCUUUAGCAAUUAAUUUAUUCCAUAUUUUAGGUAUCGGGCUCGGCCGGAUAGGAGAAGGGUUUAAAAGGGAAUGUUCAUGAAAUCUCGUUUAGUAAAAGUAUUCCAUAACUCAUGGCCCUCACGAGUGUUAUAAUUUAGAUAUUAAAAAUGAACUUCGUAGUUUGCUUUAGGCGCGGUAGUUAUAUAAUUAUCAUGGCUUUUGUUAAAAUCCGUGGGUGUAUUUCAUGUGACCCGGUUCUAAUUUCCAACAAGGUUAAAUAGAGCGUGUCAUGAACUACGGGUGCAUUUCAUGUGACGUGGCUUGCGAUAUGUUUUAAAUAACCUUGAAUUAAUUCCUUAAAUAAGUAAAAGCAGUUUUCAAAAGUUAAAAGGCACAUAGGUUUAAGAGUAUUUUAAAAUCAAGUAAAUAGGCCAAUAAUAACAGUUGAGCGACCGCGCUAAAAUCACGGAACUCAGGAAUGCCUAACAUCUUCUCCCGGGUUAACAAAAUUCCUUACCCAAAUUUCUGUGUGCGCGGACUGAAAAAUAGAGUCAAUCUUUCCUUGAUUCGGGAUUUAAAACCGGUGACUUGGGACACCAUAAAUUAUCCCAAGUGGCGACUCUGAUUUUUAAAUAAUAAUCCCGUUUUGAUUGUCACUUUAAGUUGGAAAAAACUCCCUUGUACCCUUCCGGAGGGUAGGAAAAAGGAGGUAUGACAAAACUAACAUUCUUUCUGAGAGUAAAGAACAAGAUGAUGAAGCAAUUGGGUUGGUAAGAAACUCAAAUGAAACUACAUCCAAGCCUGAAGCUGCACCAGAGGAAGGAACUAGUGAUGGAACUUGUCCUUCCACCCAUGACAACCUGAUAGGGGGAAUUGAAUAGAGAGGAACUGAUCCUCAAACCUCGAGGGAACCUAUUCAUGAACAUGUUCCUCAACAACUAAACAUUGAAGGAACGUCUAGGGGAAACCAGCUGGUUGUGAAACCUUACAAGUAUCAAAGUUAUCAUCCCAUUAGGAACAUAAUCACUUAUCCAACCUCUGGAAUCAAAACCAGAUCUUCUUUGAAAAACCUAUGUACUUUUGAUGAUUUUUUUAUCUCUUAGUGAACAUAAAAAUAUUUUUGAGGCUUUGCAGGAUGCAGACUAGAGGAAUGCAAUGCAAGAUGAACUCAACCAAUUUGAAAUAAGUCAAGUUUGGCAUCUGGUACCAAGACCCAAGUAUAGAUCAAUGAUUCGCACUAAUUGGGUCUUCAAAAACAAACGUAAUGAAGAUGGAACAAUUACAAGGCACAAGGCAAGAUUGAUGGUUCAAGGAUAUAGUCAAGAGGAGGGCAUAGACUAUGAUGAGACUUUUGCUCCAGUUGCAAUAUUGGAAGCAAUUAGACUCCUUAUAGUAUUUGCUGCUUACACGGAAUUCACUCUCUAUCAUAUGGAUGUCAAGAGUGUCUUUCUCAAUGGCUAUCUAAAAGAAGAAGUGUUUGUCAAGCAACCUCUUGGCUUUGAGAGCAAGGAUUGUUUUGAUCAUGUGUACAAGCUAGAUAAGGCACUUUAUGUGCUCAAGCAGGCUCCAAGAACAUGGUAUGAAAAAUUGUCUAAAUUCUUGCUUGAGCAUGACUACAAGAGAGGCAAAAUUGAUAAUACUUUGUUCUUGAAAGAAAACAGUAAAGAUCUCUUGAUAAUUCAUAUAUAUGUUGAUGAUAUAAUCUUUGGUAAAACUACAAACAUGUUAAGUAAAGAAUUUGCUAAGCUAAUGGGGAGUGAAUUUGAAAUGAGUAUGAUAAGUGAGCUUAAUUUAUUUUAGGCUUACAAAUUAAAUAAAAUUCAAAUGGAACUAUGAUCCACCAGUAGAAGUAUGUGAAAGAGUUGCUUAAAAGGUUUAAAAUGGAAGAUUAUAAAGAAAUUGACAUUCCUAUAGAAACAACCACAAAAUUGGAUUUGGAUGAACCUAGUUCAUUUGUUGAUCAGAAGAUGUAUAGGGGAAUGAUUUGCUCUUUGUUAUAUCUCACUGCUAGUAAACCUGACAUUGUUUUCAGUGUAGGUCUUUGUGCUAGAUUCCAAGCAAAUCCAAAAGAGUCUCACUUGACAACAAAUAGUUGAUAUAUUCACAAAAGCUCUAAGUAGAGAUAACUUUGAAAGCAACAUGUUAGAAUUAGGAAUGAUUGAGAUCACCUAAAAGGAACCAGUUCUAACUCAAUAAUUGGUUAGAUAAUUUAUGAAUUUUGUAAAUAAUUGAAUUAGAUUUUGCUUAGUCUCAUACUCUUAUUAGUAUACUCUUGUGUCAUGUGCUAAAAUGCCUUACUAAUCUCUAAUGAUAUUACCCUUAUUUUCUUGAAAAAUUCAGACUUAACAAGGGAAUUCUCAGUGAAGAACCUGGUUCAUCAAGAUUAUAUGGUAUGUACUCUCCACUCCGCGUAUUUGAAAAUAAAUGUAACUGGAUCAUGAUAAAAAAAAUAAAGUCUCAUUUAAUCCCAAUACCCUUCAAUCCUAUCCAUUACAAAUGAACCAGUUUCACCAAAAGAGUCACACGCGCCAUAAUUGCCUAGAAUCUAGGGAAGAAUCUAAGGUGCAUUCAAAUAAACUUUCCCAGAUUGAUUAGACCUUUGAACUUCAAAAAGCAUUUGUUACUCAUUCCAACUCUCCCUCUUUAAAUUUAUUAGACUUUAAUCAUUUCUUCACUUCUAAUCUUUGAAGAAAAAUUCAAGACGUCAAAAAUUCUCUCUAUUUUCUCUCAUCUCUUCUACACACACAUAUCUUCUAUAUACAUCAAAUGGAAAACCCUUUUGAGAACCAUUCUUCACCAUCCGAAGAACCAACACCCACAUCUUCUACCACCACUACCCCUAAGAAAGGACAAGUUAAGAUGUUUGCUCCUAAAGUAGUUGUUGGCAGUGAACAAAUCAAGAAAAUAAAUAAGUAGCUGAAAGCAAGCCCGACAGAGGAACCCCAAAAAUCAGAUGAAUUUUUCAAGUCUGCAAUUGAGGGGGAAGAACCUGUUUCAUUUGAAAUAGAACAGGUAACUUCUGGGCUAAAAAUUAUGUCUAAUAUCAUUUCUGAUGUGGCCGAGAAUCUGGAGAAUAGAUUUGUUCUUGUUGGUACUAUUGGUGGGGUAGAGACUACUGAGUUUGGUAAAAUUACUGGUAAAAAUAAAAAGAAAAAGGAAAAAAAGAGUGAGGGUGUUAAAGGUGAUGUCAGGGGAAAGGGAGAAGAAGGAGUGGCUAAAUCUUCGCCCACUCCUAUUGGUUUGACUGAAGAAACAGUGGCAAUGGUGAUAUGGAGUGAGAAAGUUGUUGAGGAGGAAUAGAGUUUGAGAGAAGAAGACGACAGUGAGUCUAGAGAUGCAAGUGCAACGGAGGGGCGGUUAGGUUGAGGAAGAGUUUCUAAGAACAUGUUCCAUCUAUGAAUGAACCCCUCCAAGACCUACUAAAAAAGGUGUCUGAUAGCUACAAUCCAAAUAAGAAGAAAAGUUCAGGAGUUAAAAUCCCUGAAACUGCUAUGGGAGGCAAGAAGAGAAAGGAGAGAAAAGUUACCUCUUCUAUCCUUGUAGAGACUCCUCCCACAGGGUGAGGCUACAAGGAGUCAGAGGAAGCAGAGUGAGGCUGCCCUCAAAAAGGCCUUAGUUGAGAGUAAAAGGAAAGUUGCUGAAAAGGGAAAGAAGAAAGUGGGUGAGCUAGUUGAAACAAUUGAAAUUGAGGAGAUGGACCUGGUCCUUCAUGAUGAGGACGAGGCAGAGAAGAUGGAGGAUGUGACUCCAAAAGCAAGAAAGGAAAGACUUCCAAAAAGAAGUCCCCUGCAAAAUCUAUUGAUAUAAAACCCUCUACCUUGGCAAAGAUAACCAGGUCUACUAGGAAAUCAAGAAAAGUGCAAGUAGUGGAAGAUGAGAGUGAGGAAAAAGAGGAAACUGAUGAAGAACAGGGCACGAGGGUGAAGGUUGGCAAAAGAACAAUUUUGAAGGGUAGAUUCCUUAGAGAUUUGGAGGAGGAUGGAAUGGUGCAGCUAGGGGUGUCAAUUGGGCUGUUUGGGUUAAAUUUGGGCGGGUCAAAAUAGGCUGAACCAAUAUAUGGGUCAUUACCCAACCCCGCACAAAACUUUCUUGGGCUAGAAUGGGUUGGGCCAAGAUGGGCUAAACAAUGGGUCAAUGCCAACCCGCCCAAUUUCACCCACUUACUUCAUUUUUAUGCAUGAUUUGGUAUCUGCUUUACAUUUUUAUUCGCAUAUAGUUUAGACGAAAUGUGAUUUAAGAAUUAUGAGACACAUGAAUAUAUUUCCUACAUCGUUCUUUUGAGAUGAAACUAUAAAAAUGAAAGUACAUCAUUUAUCUCAUUUUCUGAAAUAGAUAAUUAUUUAGGAAGUUAAGAACCAAUCUCAGAAAUCAUUAUUUAGAAAGUUAAAAUAUCUUGUUAAUUGAUUAAAAUUUUCAAAACAUUCUAUAGAUAUCUUCAUCUAUUAUAUUGUGAGUAUAAUAUAUUUUACGUAGAGUAUAUAGGUGCACAACUGUAAAGCUAGAAUUCUUUUUAUUAGUCGGCAAUCAGGAAGUGUAUUUUGUUUUAGAAUAAAUACUAUUAGCAUUUAAAAUGAGUUCAUAAAUUAUACUCAUAAUUUUCUUAUAAGUUAAUAAAUAUAGCACAAAAAAAGUAAAGCACCUUUUUAUUACAUAAUUACGUUAAUUUAUCAUUCUUCUAGAUGGGUCAAUAUGACCAAUUGUCCAAAUGAUAUCAAUCAUUGUUAAACUUCUUGCAAACAUAAAGAUCAUAUACUUAGAAACUAAUUAAAGUGAUAGAUAUACCAGUGACAACAAUAAAAAGCAUACAUUUAAAAAGCAAAAACAAUAUAGGAAGUUACAAAAAAAAUUCAAUUUGUAGUAUUUAUUUAACCUUUUCUCAAAUCUGAAUUUGUUUAGUUCCUUAAAGAAAAAUUGAAAAUUCCCUAAAGCAUAGUUCUGUAAUUUCCUUAUCAAAACGCUUCUUUUCAUGCAAAACAAAUGAUCAAGCAUUAGAAAGAAAAUACUUUCUUUUCUAAAAACAAUAUAGAAGGAUAAAGAUUGCCACGUUGAGUCCUUAACCCAUCAGGUACACGCGCACCUUGGGUUCUGCACAGAGCAGAUGGCAAUAUCUCCCAUGUAUCAAGAUUGCGUUUUUAGACUAAAGAUAAUAAUGACCCACUGGGCUAUUUUUAAAUUUCAUGGGUUGAUUUGGGUUUACUGACUCAGCCCAAGUUGACCCAUUUAUUACACGGGUUAGUUUGGGCACCGCUCCAUAAUGACCCAUCAUCAGAUAUAGCAUUCGCCCAACCCGUGAAAUAUUGGAUGGGUUUUGGUGGGGAGGGGGGGGGGGUCAUAUAGGUUUGGCCGUUUGGGCCAAAUUUGACAGCCUUAGGUGUUGUAUUGCUGUUGCUAGAAAGGCUAGAAUUUCAGGGCCGGAAGAACAUGGUCUUUCAAUUGGAAGGAAAACUAGCUCGAGCAAAAAUUGUGGAGUUUUUGACAAACUAUGAAAUCAAAAAUGGAAGAGUAACUAGUAUAGUGAAAGGAAUACAAGUGAGUUUUGAUGACAAGGAACUAGGAGAGAUGUUAGGAGUACUUGCUGAAGGGUACAAUAAUUACAAGAAGUUGAAAUGACCAAGCCUAGAAAACCCACCUACCUCACUUGUCAUCACCAAGAAAUUUGCUAAUAGGGACUUAGAGCUACAACCUGAGGCUAUUUAUAAGAGUGAAAUGAAGCCUGCCCAAAAGGUGUUCUUUGAAUUUGUCAACAAGAUUGUGUUGCCCAGGUAGGAGAGGAGGCACAUUGCAACUUUCAUGGACAUGAUCCUUAUAAAGUACCUGGAUAGUAGAAGGCAGAUCAAUUGGCCAGGGUUUACCAUCCAACUCCUUGAUAGGUUACAUUUUGGCACCAAAACUCAUGUCAUACCCUAUGGGUUCAUACUCACUGUUGUGCUUUCUCACUUCAAGGUUCCCCUCAAUAAAUAAGAUGUUAGCACAAGUAAAUAUCAGUUUGGGGCCAAUACUUAGAUUUCCUAUGACUAUGAAGUCCUUACUACUCCCAAAGAAGCUGGUUUAUCCAAUAUGGUGCCUGUGAACAGCAAAGUGGGUGCCUUGGAGCAAGAAAGUGGGGCUAAGGAUGUUGCGAUUGAAAGGCUGAAGAAGAGACUGCAUGAAGUAGAAACUGAGAGGGAUGCUCUCAAGACUGAGCUUGCUAAGGAGAAAGGGAAGAAUGAAGGCAUUCUUCAAGACAUGUUAAAGUAGAUUCAGGCCAGAAGCUAAGAACCUGGUCCUUCCAAGCCUUAACCCUUCCUAGUUUACUUUGAAAACCAGUUACCCUGAAUAAGAUUUUUUUUUUUUUGUUUUUUUGCUCAUGGUGCAGUACUUUUAUUUCCUUCUAUGCUUUGUGGAUGACUCUUAUCAAUGAUAAUCACUAUUUUUUACUCCUAUUAUUUGUUGAUAUUUCUUAGAUGGCUAAUAUCCUUAGAUUGAUAAGUGUUACUUGACUCCAUGAUUACAUUUGAAGUAGCCUCAGUGGCCAUGAGUAAGAUCUGCUAAAAUCUGGCUAUAUAACUUAAUUAUGCAACUUUUCGGUGAUGCCAAAAGGAGGAAGGUAGGUUUUGCUUUUACUUUGGACUGUAAUGUCUAUAACCUAAUGAACUUGGUCCUUGAUGAUUUUUGACUUUAAAAUGGAAAAUGUUCUAAUAUUAUGUUGAUAUUGAGUUAAAAUAGGCUUCAUGCUUAUAAAAAGCACAUAGUUUGCCAUCAUCAAAAAAGGAGAAUUUACUGGCCUGGGUAAGUUUGUUUUGUUGAUUGACAAAGGAACUCAUGCAUGAACCAGGUCCAUACACAGUGUGCACAUGACACGGGCAGAUUCAAG